rnacentral:rRNA from 1 species
UACGGAGGGUCCAAGCGUUACUCGGAAUUACUGGGCGUAAAGCGCAUGUAGGCGGUUUGGUAAGUUUGAUGUGAAAGCCCGGGACUCAAUCUCGGAAGUGCAUCGAAUACUGCCAGACUAGAGUGUAGGAGAGGUAAGCGGAAUUCCAGGUGUAGAGGUGAAAUUCGUAGAUAUCAGGAGGAAUACCGGAGGCGAAGGCGGGUAACUGGCCAGACACUGACACUCAGACCCGAAAGCGUGGGGAUCAAACAGG